GCACCAUUAGCUCAGUUGGUAGAGCACCUGACUCUUAAUCAGGGUGUCCUGGGUUCGAGCCCCAGAUGGUGCACCA
rnacentral:tRNA from 1 species